rnacentral:rRNA from 1 species
GAUCCUGGCUCAGGAUGAACGCUGGCGGCAUGCCUAAUACAUGCAAGUCGAACGAGAGGAAGGAAAGCUUGCUUUUCUGAAUCUAGUGGCGAACGGGUGAGUAACACGUAGGUAACCUGCCCAUGUGCCCGGGAUAACUUCUGGAAACGGAUGCUAAAACCGGAUAGGUAGCAGACAAGCAUUUGACUGCUAUUAAAGUGGCCUUGGCCAUGAACAUGGAUGGACCUGCGUG